rnacentral:tRNA from 1 species
AUUUAAAUAGUUUAUUUAAAACAUUGAUUUGUGGGAUCAAAAAAAUUAUUAAAAUUAAUUUUAAAUA